rnacentral:rRNA from 1 species
GACGAACGCUGGCGGCGUGCUUAACACAUGCAAGUCGAACGGUAAGGCCCUUCGGGGUACACGAGUGGCGAACGGGUGAGUAACACGUGGGUGAUCUGCCCUGCACUUCGGGAUAAGCCUGGGAAACUGGGUCUAAUACCGGAUAGGACUCCGGACUGCAUGGUCUGGGGUGGAAAGCUUUUGCGGUGUGGGAUGGGCCCGCGGCCUAUCAGCUUGUUGGUGGGGUGAUGGCCUACCAAGGCGACGACGGGUAGCCGGCCUGAGAGGGUGACCGGCCACACUGGGACUGAGAUACGGCCCAGACUCCUACGGGAGGCAGCAGUGGGGAAUAUUGCACAAUGGGCGCAAGCCUGAUGCAGCGACGCCGCGUGAGGGAUGAAGGUCUUCGGAUCGUAAACCUCUUUCAGUAGGGACGAAGCGAAAGUGACGGUACCUAAAGAAGAAGCACCGGCUAACUACGUGCCAGCCGCCGCCGUAA